rnacentral:lncRNA from 1 species
GAGGUGACAGAGGAAGCACAGAGCGGUGCCACCCGUGUAAGGAGGGGAAGAAGGAAGCCUGUCUAAACGGCUGCACAGGGGCUCUCGGAACAGAACUGAAGGAACUCACGCAGUGCUCGUCCGUGAAGCUGACAGAGGGAACCUGGAGAAGGCCCCAGUAGGCUGUUCCCACUCCUGCCCACCUGAGCAGCAGAGCACGACCGCCAGAGCCUGGGCCUUUCAAGACCUAUCAGCCCGCAGCAAUGACGGAGAGCCCAAAGGCAGGUGCUGAUUCGGAACUUGUGACAUGCGUGGUCACGACGGAGCACCUCCCGCUGGGCCGACCCAAACGUUUAACCAGCAGAUCUGCCUGCCUGCUGCCUGCCCCUGCAGCCCCCUGGGGUCCCUCUGGUGAUGAGCUUCAAGUCUGCCGUGGGAGCCUUGGGGGCUCUGAGACGGGCAGGAGAUUUGACAGAUGAAAAGAUCACCGAUAUGGCAGGAAGCGUGGAUGCUGACGGAUGAGGAGGAGAUCACCGAUCAGCAGGAAGCGUGGAAUUCUGUGAUCCCGCACUGCUCCUCCAUGCAGAGCUCUUCGCGGUCCCCAGACACGGCUGUCUUCAGAGGAAGAGGAGUCCUGGCAGCCGCAGCAGAGCGCUGACCCCCUCAGUGGUCUGCUGACCAAACAGCAUGGCUCUGGUCUCCAGGCUGGCCACUUGGAAAGGAGUUUUGCCAGAGGGACCUUGGAGCCACAUGUGUGGCCCCAGGAUGGCGAGGAUGAGGCCCCUGCUGAGCUGAUACUCAUUCCAUAAGGACUGGUUAGUCACUCAGCAAACCCUCCACGUGCCUGCCGUGGGCUUCCCCCUCCCCCAGGCACCGCUGGCCCCCCUGAGCUCAAGGUGUGGUAGAACCCCUCCCAUGUGGCAUGGUGCCAAGACUGAUGGGUGUACCAGCCGUGUCUGUGCCAUGCUGUGAGGAGCAUGAGGCCACAGCCAGGUCUGAAACGCAGCACCCGGAACCAAGCAGACUGUGAAACUCGGGCCGACGUGAUAAGGAGGCCAGGCUACAACUCGCUCUGCUUUCAAGAAGAGAGACUUUAGAGAACUGGUAUCAAAGACGCUUGCUGUGUUUGCAGGAUCACAUGGGAACUUGGCUGUAAAUAUUUCUGUGCCGAGGCAGCACCGCGUCGCACAGGGCCCGUGAGGGCCUGCGGGUUUGAUUUACCCUUUCCAGGAUGCCUGCAACAUUUCUUGGAUGUGAAAGUUUGUUCUGAGCACGAUAGCUGGAAAACCACUGUCCGUGUCCUCUGACGCAGCUGCUGCAGGGGGGGAGCUUUGCUGAGCAGACCAUGUCACCUCCAAAGUGAUGAAGAGGGGAUGCCCUACAGGGUCCUGCGGAUAAACGCUGCUGGCAUCUGGCCAUGGCGGAAAGACAGCCUCUGGGCGGAAGGGCAUGACAGUAGUCUCAGCAGCGGCUGGAGAUGAGCCCACAGGUUGUCUUCCCCAGCGGGGAUGUUCGCUCUCGGGGGAGGGUGGGUCAGAGGAGGAUACACAGGCUGCCGGCAGUGGCCAGAAGCAAUGUCCAGCCUCCUCUCCCCAGCUCCUGGAAGCAGAUUCCAGCAGGGAACAGGGAGCUUGUCCGGUCACUGGCUAAUGCUCCACAUGACGGCCAUCUGCCAGGCUCUAGGAGGUGAGAAUUCCUCCACAAAUUAAUCUCAUGCCCAGAAACGCAUCAUUGCCACUGACCAGGAUGGAGACGUACAGGUUCCUCUAAAGAAACCUACAUUCCAGCUUAAUGAUUAUACUCAGAUGGCUACCUAAGAACUAAUUGUUCAACUGACUCAUCACAGACCCGUGCAUGUGCCCAGCUUUCCCUGGAGACCCGGGCCCCCGGUACUUGCAUCUUGAGUUAAAGAAGAAUCAUCAGCCACGUAAGUGAGGACACACGUUUGCCGAGAAGCCCCCAGGUCUCUGUUCACCGCAGUGUUUACUCAGAGGACACAGGAAAACACACACACACACACACACACACACACACACCCCUGGGAGUCCUUGCAAAUGGCCCCAGGCUUCAUGAAAGGCCUCGAUGGUGACAGUUGGGACAUGUUACUUUGGGGAUAGCCCAAUGGCUAUGAAAUUAAUUUUCUGAGCUCCUGAGAAACUUGCCUUCCUAAAAACCAUGAUGGAUGCAGAUGAACAAGGUGCUGAGCGGCCUGGAGUGGGCCCAGAGGUGGCAGCUGCACUCCUAACUCUGGCCGGGUGAGGAGCCCUAUCCAGGCAGCCACUGUGGGGGUCGGAGGAGCACUCAGGGGGCGUGUGGGUCCUGGAAGUCGCCAGAGCCCUGCAGUUCUGUGAAUGUGACACCAGGACCUGUCCCCCCGGGGCCUGGAGGGCUUAGAGGGAGGGGCCCUAAAAACCCUCAUUCUCAGAAAUGCCGGCUGUUCCUCAUGUGCAUGAAUUCCUCAAACUCACCCUGGCAGGGGCUGCUGCUGCUCUGCUAUGAAGCCCAGGGGAUGUGACCCUCAAGGAUGGGACCUGGGGCACUGUCCUCAGAGUGUCUGUCCCCUCAGAGGCAUGAUUGGCCCAGUGAGCACACUGCUCAGCCUUAAGGAGGCGAUGAGCUCGUUUGAGGAACAGAGAGAGAAGUCAUUUGUCCAGGAUCAGCAGCUCUAAGAACGCAUGAACCCAAGCUGACGGCGGCCGGCCUCCUGCCCCAUGCGGAGGAGCUGCCUGCGAGUGAGGCCACACAGGCGGGGUGGGGGGCCAGUGAACUGUGUGGAUCUCUAGAUCCACCGUCAGCUGCAGCCCGAUCUUUAUAAUGUUUUAAAUGUCAUUUUGUCUGAUUUAGUCUGGCCUUGGUUUUUAUUACUUGGAA